rnacentral:rRNA from 1 species
CCUACGGGGAGCAGCAGUGGGGAAUAUUGGGCAAUGGGCGCAAGCCUGACCCAGCAACGCCGCGUGAAGGAAGAAGGCUUCCGGGUUGUAAACUUCUUUUCUGAGGGACGAAGAAAGUGACGGUACCUCAGGAAUAAGCCACGGCUAACUACGUGCCAGCAGCCGCGGUAAUACGUAGGUGGCAAGCGUUAUCCGGAUUUAUUGGGGGUAAAGGGCGUGAAGGCGGGAAAGCAAGUCAGAUGUGAAAACUCAGGGCUCAACCCUGAGCCUGCAUUUGAAACUGUUUUUCUUGAGUGCUGGAGAGGCAAUCGGAAUUCCGUGUGUAGCAGUGAAAUGCGUAGAUAUACGGAGGAACACCAGUGGCGAAGGCGGAUUGCUGGACAGUAACUGACGCUGAGGCGCGAAAGCGUGGGGAGCAAACAGGAUUAGAUACCCGAGUAGUC